AUGAGCGGGAUGAUCUCGUCCACCACCUGCUUGAACUCCUGCGCCUCCAGGGACAUGUCCAUCGCCACGUCCCUGCGCUCCGUCUUCCUCUACGACAACAACCUCACCGGCGCCUUCCCGCCGGCGCUCGGGCGCUGCAGGCAGCUGCAGCGGCUGCUCCUUGCAAACAAUGGGUUCUCCGGUCACAUACCGGCCGCCGCCUUGCCGCAGAUGGAGAGCCUGGAGGUGCUCGACCUGUCGUCCAACUCCCUCACGGACGCCAUCCCGCCUGAGCUCGGCAAGCUCCAGGCGCUGGCCGGCACACUGAACAUCUCCCGCAACCGCCUCUCCGACGCGGUGCCGCCGGAGCUGGGACGUCUCCCGGCGACCGUCACCCUCGACCUCCGCUUCAACAACCUCUCCGGCGAGAUCCCGCAGUCCGGGUCCCUCGCCAGCCAGGGCGCCACGGCCUUCCUCAACAACCCCGGGCUCUGCGGUUUCCCGCUCCAGGUCCCCUGCCGCGCGGCCCCGCUGUCGGCAUCCUCCUCCACGCCGCCUCCGACCACCACUGGCUCCGGCGGCAGCGCCGGCGGCACUAGCCAGCCGAUGAAGACCAGCCUCAUCGUGCUCAUCUCGGUCGCCGACGCGGCCUGCGUCGCCCUCAUCGGAGUCAUCAUGGUGUACAUAUACUGGAAGCUGCGCGACCGGCGCGGGGAUGAUGUCGACGACGACGAGGACGAGGAGGGGCGAGGGCUCUUCGCCUGCCCGUGCAUGCGCGCAAACACCUGCGGGGACUCGUCGGACGGGUCCGACGCGGGCGGCGGCGAGAAGAAACGCGGCAAUGGUUCCGGGGGCGGAGGCGGCGGCGAGGACGGGGAGCUGGUGGCGAUCGACAAGGGGUUCCGGAUGGAGCUGGACGAGCUGCUCCGCGGCCCCGGAGCGGUACAAGGAGUUCGCGGCGGAGGCCGGCGUCGUCGGGCGCGUGCGGAGGCCGGCGUCGUCGUGCUCUUUUUUCCAACGGCUUGCUCUGCUCUGAAGAAUAAAACAGGGCAGGGACCUGGUUUUGAACGGAGGACUAGUACAAGUGCAUGCGGUUUGAGCCUGUCUAGUUCUACGGCAGCUACGGCAGCUAGCGGUGGCGUGCAAUCGGCAUGCAUGCGCUCCCCCUCAAAUCCUCUCCAAAAGGUGCAUCCCUUAGGUGGAUCUUUCCAUCACUUUGCUGCUCUUGUGCUAUGCAUGAUGGAGAGACUUGUUAAUGUUCAUUACAUUGACAAGGAGGCAUUCUUGAGUAACAAUGCCGACACGGGUGAGGAACCAUUGGUUUUUGAUACAAGCCCUAGCUAUGAGAAUGUUGUUGCAAAAGUGAGACAAGUUUUGAAGUGGAUGGACACCAAUGUUGAUGUUAAGUUAAUAGGAAGGUAUGAUGUUGGAGUUGGAGCCAAAUCUCGCUUGAAAAGUAUGCCUAUCACCUCGGAUUUGCAUUGGGAUGUAUACAAGGAAAAAGUAUCCCAAUCGGAAGACAAGUCACUUGAAUUGUUUGCCACCAAGGUUGAAUCUCCUCGGUUUACCUUUGAUUUGAACCGGCAUGUCUCUUCCCCAAUGGAUGACAUGAGCGAGAGGACAAUGGUGCCACUUGUUGAGCAUAGGGUUGUGGUUGACGCCCCCAAUGUUUAUCCCCCACCACAUCCCCGUGUACCAUCUAUUAAAGAAAAUGAGGUUGAGUUGUAUGCCCCCAAUGCUUCUAGCCAACCACCAACUAGUCAAGCAAAUGAAGUUGAGGUGAUUGCUAGUGACGGAGUAAUUCAAGAGGAUGAAGAUGCUUAUGAUGACGACGAAGAGCAAGAGGAAGGGUUUCAUGGUAAUGAUGUUGAUGACUUGGAUGCGUACAUAGCGCAAAAGGACAUGGAUCGUGACUUGCCUUUUAGGCGUCAAUGUGCGUAUGACUCGGAUGACGAGGGUCCAGUUGAACAGUUGGACGAGGAUGGAUUCACAAAGGAGGAGAACCAAAUCCACUUUGAGCUGACGGGCUUACAAAAAAGAACUCACUUGUUUAAAGAUCUCAGCCUUGCCCAUAAAGCUGUUGUUGACGGUGGAAUGAGAAUGACGGCGAUUGAGCCAACACCAUGCCCGGAUCCAGGAGAACCAAGGGUGGAGAAUGAGGACGAGAAUGCUUAUUUGAAGAAAGGAGUGAAGUUUCUGAGCUUGCCUAUGCUGAAGUUUUGGUUGGCUGAUUAUGCCAUUCGAAACCAUAGGCCAUUUUAUGUUGAGCACUCCGACAUGAAGUUGUGUUACACCGUGGUGUGUGAGCAAGAAGGAUGCCCAUGGAAGGUUCGUGCAAGAAAGCUUAAAGAAACCGAAGAAUGGGUGUUAAAAAGUUGUGUUGCCACUCAUAGAUGCAAACCUCCAUCUAAACGACUUAGAAAGACACACCGUCAACUCACAUCUGAGUAUCUCGGAUACAAAUGGAUGAAAGACAUAGGCUUUGAUCCCACUGUGAAAGUGAGGUUUCUCAUGCGGACGGUGAAAAAACAAUUUGGUUAUGAAGUCAAGUAUGGGAAGGCAUGGAAGGCAAAGGCAAAUGCUAUUAGGAUGUUGUAUGGUGGUUACGAAGAAGCAUACAACCAGCUCCCAAGGUUGUUGGCCGCCAUUGCACAUAGGAACCCGGGCAUGUUUCAUGUGGUCGAGGAUCACGAGGGAGUGUUCCAUCGUGCCUUCUGGAGUUAUGGACAAUCGGUGAACGAAGGGGGAAAAGACUUCUUAACUAGGAAUUUAAGCAAGAAGCACAAGUGGGCACGCGCUCAUGACGAUGGUGGUUGGCGAUAUGGCGACAUGACGAGCAACCUGGUAGAAUGUUUCAACAAUGUGUUGAAGGGUGCUCGUGCAUUGCCGGUGACUGCAAUAGUGGAGUACACCUUCUUCAAGCUUAAUGAGUACUUUCAGAGGCAUUCUGAAGAGACUGCAAAAUGGAUAGGUGAAAAAAAGGAUUAUCCGGAAAAGGUUGAUGAAUGGUUGCAGUUACAAGCAAGCAAGUCUUCACGGCAACAAGUUAUCAUAUUCGAUAGAAUUGAAAUGAUCUAUCAAAUUGAUGAGCCAGGUGGCACAACACGAGACGGUAGACAAUAUGGUGGUGCUGCAUUUGAGGUGAAACUGAAGACUCGGUGGUGCCAGUGCGAGAGGCCUAGUAAGUAUCAUUGGCCAUGCUCGCAUUUGAUAACGGCGGCGAAGGCGAGAAACAUACAUGUUUGUGAUGGAAAAACCGUGCGGAUGCAAGAGUUCCAUCUGGAAGCUACUAGGUUGACAUGGGCGCCAAGAUUUCACCCUUUCUUGGACCAAUCACAGUGGCCUGAGUACCAUGGCCCUCAUAUUAGGCCAGACCCUCUUCUGAAGGUGGAGACGAAGGGUAGAAGGAGAACUAAGAGGUUCAGGGGUGAUAUGGAUGACCUGGCUGGAUACACUGGCAUGAAACAAUUUGGUAGCGGUCAUUUCAUGGAGGCUCCUGACACUAUCAACUGUGGGGUGUGCGGUGAAGGGGGACACAAUGAGUGGACAUGCAAGAAUAAGAAAACCAAAAAAAGAAAAACAAGUCGUGGAGGCGGCACCGAUGGUGAACGAGGUGGAAGAGGUGACGGUGGUGGUGGUCAAGGAAGCACAAGUGUCAGAGGUGGUAGUGGUGGUCGUAGAGAGAGCACAAGUGCUAGAGGUGCUAGUGUUUGUAGAGGGAGUACAAGUGCUAGAGGUGGUGGUCGAGCUAGCACAAGUGCUAGAGGUGGUGGUCGAGCUACCACAAGUGCUAGAGGUGGUGGUCGAGCUACCACAAGUGCUAGAGGUGGUGGUCGAGCAGGCACAAGUGCUAGAGGUGAUGGUGGUCGGAGAGGAAGCACAAGUGCUAGAGGUGGUGGUCGUCGUAGAGGAAUGGUUGAUAAUGGACCAGCCUUCGGUUUUUUGCUUAAUCCAGAUGGCAUGGCUUCAUCCGGUUCCAGGACGAGGCCGGCGUGCGCAGACCAAGAGGACAUGCCAAAGACGUGGAUGGAGGCCAGUUUGGACAAGGAGAAGGAGAAGGAUGUGCACACACCAUCAUGUUGGUGUGCUGAUGUUUGUAAGCUGAAGGUGUCCACUGACCGCAACAAGUCAUGGACAGAAGGUAGAAGGUUUUUCGUGUGUCCCAACUAUGCACAUGAUCGUCGAAGGCCAACUAACGCAUAUGACAUACCACCGUCCCCUCCUCCACUUUGCAAGUACUUCACUUGGAUAGAUCACGAGGUACCAAAAGAUGUCCAAGAGGACCAACGUCGAGAUUGGUUACGGAGGCAGCGCCUAUUCGAGGAGUCCUAUGCAUGGGGAUUGGAGCGGGAGCAUCGUGAGAAGGAGGCUCGUGAGCGCAAGAAGCGUGAGGAAGAGAGGGCACGCAAAGAGAAGGAUGCUCGUCAAGAAGAGAGGGCAAGAAAACUUGCAAGGGCUCGCGAUGCACGAGAGGAGGACGAGGCACGUGACAAGAAGGGAAAGUGGCCCCGUACUACUCAGUAG
rnacentral:rRNA from 1 species